rnacentral:piRNA from 1 species
UAUGACAGCAUUAUUACGAGGUGGU